UACGGAGGGUGCAAGCGUUAAUCGGAAUUACUGGGCGUAAAGCGCGCGUAGGUGGUUUGAUAAGCGAGAUGUGAAAGCCCCGGGCUUAACCUGGGAACGGCAUUUCGAACUGUCAGGCUAGAGUAUGGUAGAGGAGUGUGAGUUACUUCGUGUGUGAGCGGUGAAAUGCGUAGAUAUAGGAAGGAACACCAGUGGCGAAGGCGGCACUCUGGACCAAUACUGACACUGAGGUGCGAAAGCGUGGGGAGCAAACAGGAUUAGAUACCCCCGGUAC
rnacentral:rRNA from 1 species